CCAAUAGCGUAUAUUAAAGUUGUUGCAGUUAAAAAGCUCGUAGUUGAAUUUCGGGAUCAAUGCGUCGGUCGUGCCUUCGGUACGUACUAGCGUCAUUGAUUCCUCCCUUCUGAAGAUCCGUGAUGUCAUUAAUUUGGUGUCUUGGGGAAUCAGGACCGUUACUUUGAAAAAAUUCGAGUGUUUAAAGCAGGCUCACGCUUGAAUACAUUAGCAUGGAAUAAUGAAAUAGGACGUUUGAUUCUAUUUUGUUGGUUUCUAGGAUCGACGUAAUGAUCAAUAGGGAUAGUUGGGGGCAUUAGUAUUCAAUUGUCAGAGGUGAAAUUCUUGGAUUUAUUGAAGACUAACUACUGCGAAAGCAUUUGCCAAGGAUGUUUUCAUUAAUCAAGAACGAAAGUUAGGGGAUCGAAGACGAUCAGAUACCGUCGUAGUCUUAACCAUAAACUAUGCCGACUAGGGAUCGGAUGAUGUUAAUUUUUUAAUGACUCAUUCGGCGCCUUACG
rnacentral:rRNA from 1 species